AUUGAACGCUGGCGGCAGGCCUAACACAUGCAAGUCGAGCGGAGCGGCGGACGGGUGAGUAAUGCCUAGGAAUCUACCUGGUAGUGGGGGAUAACGUCCGGAAACGGGCGCUAAUACCGCAUACUAUCAGAUGAGACUCGGUCGGAUUAGCUAGUUGGUUGGGUAAAGGACUACCAAGGCGACGAUCCGUAACUGGUCUGAGAGGAUGAUCAGUCACACUGAAACGGAGACACGGUACAGACUCAUACGGGAGGCAGCAGUAGGGAAUAUUGAACAAUGGGCGAAAACCUGAGCCAUCCGUGCCGAGUGUGUGAAGAAGGUAUUCGGAUUGUAAAGCACUGUAAGUUGGGAGGCGUUACCAACAGAAUAAGCACCGGCUAACUUCGUGCCAGCAGCCGCGGUAAUAC
rnacentral:rRNA from 1 species